CCCUGACCCUCUGGCUUCGACAUUGGCCCAACAAACUCCCCAGUGAUUCUUGGUAUUUAUUAUCUGUCCUGAUUUCGUACCUACCACCGCUGGCGCCCUGCGCCCCAUUUCCAGGUGAUGGCGAGCCUUUAAUGGAGCCGGAUGAUUAAGUUUGGAUCUACGGGAUUCUUAGAUCGAGUGCUUGGAGGAUACCGCUGGCACGCUGGCAAUAGUGGUGUGUCAUGAGACCGAAGGACGAGCUUUCGAGCCAGGGCCAGCGUGAGUACGGGUCGAUGCCAUGACCUCGAUGAGAAGGCCGAUUUUCGGAGGUAAAGCGGAUUGCCAGCCACUUGAUUUCUUCCUGGUGCCUGCAGGACGGACGGGGACCGUUGGGUCAAACGCCGUUCUUCAUAAUAAUUUAUCACGAGAUGUUAUUUCACUGGAACAUUUGCUGGAUGUGAGUUCCUGUGCUUUGCCUGCUGUUUGCCCCCUUGCGCAGUUUUCGGAGGUUUCCCCAGAGUACAUGUGAAUGGUGUUUCGAUACGUUGAAUAUAUAUUCAAGAAUAAUUGCGACGAAGGGGACGGAGUCUUAUCAAAUUUGAAAUAGUAUUUAGCUGGGAUUUCAGCAUUGUUGAACUGCAUUUCCAUUCAUUUAGCUGACAAUGGAGUCGUGGGAAUCAGACCAGAACAGUAAAGACACGUUUAUUUCUAUCACAGAAAAUUCAGAUCGCGCAAAUAACGACUUCUCUCCAACUCCAAAGGGAGUGCACACCGAUGCCGACCUGCCAGCUGAGUACCGGCCAAAACACUCCAACACUCCGUCACGCGGUGUCUCGUCCCCACUCAGUUCCAACGCAUCUGCUAAUCUCAGCUCAUCAAAUCCUUUUCUUUACGACACGGAAAUUCUUGCCCCUGCGGUGCUACAGUCCCCGUCGAAUCCUUUCCGAGCAACCAGCCCAACAACCAACCCCUUCUCGCCAGCUAACCAACACUCAAACCCGUAUAACACUACAAAUCCUUUUGCAGCGGACCUCCUGUCGUCUGAGCCGGCCAUCAAAGCAACAAGUAACAGCAAUGUGAGUCUUUCCAACCCUUUCUUAACAAAAAGCGACAUGACAACUUCUGAGCAGCACUUAGACUCCAAAGAGUCUUCCAGGGACCAGGUAGGGUCACCCGAAAAUGAUACAAUGGAGUAUGUGUACCUGAACCGACUCCCGGGCGAGAACCUGGGUAUGGUCAUGGGCAUCGAAGGCGACCAGGAGAAUCGGCGACCGAUUGAAUCGGUUGUGGUCAAGUCCAUCACGCCAGGGGGCGCGGCGGCGCGGGCCUGUCAGGCCGGACACAGCAUUCUAGUGGGUGACCACAUCAAAGAGGUGGAUGGCCGGCCGCUGACUGAACUGACUCACGACGAGUGUAUCGCUCUGUUGGCCGACAUGCCCGAAAAAGUCAUCCUCACUGUCUCCCGUGCCUCGGCCACUGAGACAUCACAAAUGCCUGACGAUACUGUUGACCAAAACCUUCUGGCAGCUGCUUCGAAACGAAAGACAUCGCGUGGUCCCCCGCCAGUGCCUCCGCCCCGGAAGUACUUCAAGGACACCGCGGACGGUUCCUGGGUUGCCACGGAAGACGCGAGCUAUCGUGAGGAAGGGGAGGUCACGCCCCGCGGAUUUCUCAAACUAGACGUGACGGUGUUCCGGGAGGCUGGGGACAGUCUUGGGCUGAGCAUUGUGCCCAGCUAUGGCGCCACUUGCGAUCUGUAUCAGGUAAAAAGACUCCUUCCGGAAGGUGCGUGUGCACGGAGUGGUCAUCUGGAGGAAGGUGAUCGUCUGCUGUUCUGUAACGGACUCAGUCUUCGCGCCUUGACACAGGCGCAGUGUCUGCAUGUUCUCAAAAGUUCCGGUCAUGUGACUGAGCUGAUCAUAUUGAGGCAGGCGGAGGGAGAACAAGACGCUGAUGUCCAAGAUAACAAAGACCUAGUGACACCAAACGAGAAUCUUCUCGGUGGUGUAGAAUUUGGGUAUGGUUCUGAGAGAGCUGCUGAAGUGACAGAUUCGAAUUCUGAGCUGGUUCAGUCUCUAUUGGAUCCUAAAUUUCCCAGCAAUCAGGAAGAGGUUAGAUGGGACGUUGACAAAGCCCGGGAUAUUGAUAACACCACAGAAGUGAAUUUAUUAAACCAAAAUAACGACGACGUAUUUUUCUCCCUUGGAUCUUCCGAGGUUGAUAGUGCACCCAUACCACCUCCGAGUGAAUUUGGUGAUUUGAGUAUCAAUUUCCAGCAAGCUACUCCUGAGUCGGACAGAUCUGAUUGUGUGACGUACAUAGACGAUCUGUUGGGCCCCGUGAAGGACUCUGAUGACUACGCCGAAACAGCUGCAGAGAACACGUACACCCCUCCCUCAGACUCCACACAGGAUUCUCUGUUGAUAGACUUCGGCGAUAGCAGCACUGUUGAGGAGAGCUCUGGUCCUCAGGAUCCUUCUUACAAUUUCUUGAACGACAACGAGUUCAGUGGUAGAACUCUCGAGGAGUUUGCGGAGGAAUGCUUUAAUAGUAUUGUGAGCGAUUCCGAAAAGCUGUCCAAUUCACAAAGUUCAGGUGGUGGUUACUUUGAAGAAAACCCCCCUCAGAGUUUGUUGGAAUCGGAUAAAGUUGAGACCUCACAAGCAGCUCACGUUACGCUGGUGCCAGUUUCGCCUUCGUCUCCUAGCAAGCACGUUACAUACAUUCCCGUUUCAUCACCACCAAGUUCAGCUGCUCAGCAGAGCUCGACGUCUCCGUCAGUGGGUUCUUCCGAGCCGGAGAAAAGCGAAAGUGUUCAAAAGUUUCACUCCACUAACAUCAGUGUCAACGCAGCUGGCACAGCCAGUGUAACAACUAUCAACGUAACUGCACGACGGAACAAUGACACCAAGGGCAGGUCGUUACCCCCAACACCUACUACACAACCAAAUCCUUCUGGAGUGAUCUUCUCCACAGACUCUGGCAAUUUGGCUACAAUACGUGUGGACAGUCAGCCAGUGCUAGAGACAGCUAUGAGCGACCAAGCCCCAUUCCCACCAGCCACGACCGAGAGCGCAUCGCUUGCCCCACCCCCAGCGUUCGAGGGACCGCCCUCUGAUGAAUCGUCAACACCUCCACUACCGGACUCGGCCCCGCCUCCUAUACCAAAUGGACCUCCUCCUGAUCUGCCGAGUCCAUCCACAGACCAGAACUGCCUCACAAACGCAACCCUCGACCAGUCCUCGUAUCAAAAGACAGCCGUGAAAGCAGCUACGCAGGGUCAAGUAUUGACCACACAAGGUGUCAUCACCAACGGCCAGGAGGAGGAUGAGGUCAUAGAACCUAUGCAGGCUUCUAAAGAUGCCCAGGGCAAGGUGCUGUGUAUGCCUGCGUCUAUGGAGCAGAGGGGACCCCCUGCUGUCAGGUCCAUCGAUGACGUUGCUAAACACGAUUUAGCUAAUGUGUUGGCGUCUUUGGUUGACAAAAGUCCUAACAAAGCUCCCACCGUGGCGGCGGCGCCUGUACACCUUGCAAAGGUAGAGGGGGAAGGUAUUUCAGAACCAGAGAUUGUUCCCACCGUGUUGUCCCGAGACCAAAAAGAAAUGGCACGGGAUGUGCUUAAUGUUUGGGGCGGGCAACCAGAGCAAAGCUCUACGCAGAACUCGGAACAGCCCCAGAGCAGCAAGAAACCUUCGCCCUUCCAGAGAGCCGUCACGGAGGUCUUUCAGAAAGUUCCAGACAACGCAGUUGCCCACACUACUCUUGGGGUCAGCAAUAGUGGCCAAGAUGCGGAUGACACCAUACAGCCCAUGUCCGUUACUCGGGAUGCUCUUGGCAAAACAUUCUGUGUGCCAUCUUCUGCUGACACCCAGAGGCCAGCAGUGAAACCAAGGACUCUGAACAAUGAUGCUAAGCUUGAGCUGGCUAAAGUUUUGGGUUCGUUUAGCACACCAGCUCCAGAUCUCUCAGUUCGCAAACCUGUGAGACAAGUUAGCGCAGAGGAGAAAGGUAUGGAAGAUGAAAUCGUUCCGACUGUUCUUAACAGAGAUCAAAAAGAAAUGGUAACAAAUGUUCUCGGCUCAUGGAGUAACGUUGAUCCUCAACAAAAGACCACCACUUCAGUGUUCCAAAAGGCUGUCUCUGGAUUCAUUAAUUCUCAAAGCAGAGAUGAGGACUUGGCAGAUGUAACUAGCAAGAAUAUUGACAGUGAUCAGACUGACAGCGUUGAGAAUGAGAACACAACGAAAGACUCAACACUUGGUAACAUUGAGAGUGUGGCAAAAAGAGUUACUGAGAACGACUUAGUCGCUUCUGUGGUUGAACAGGUUCAUGCCUCUCCUGUCUUCAUACAACCUGUUCAGACAACUGCCUCUGUAGAUAAAGAAAAGGCGGAUGAAUCUUCCCUUAUUUCAGUGCAGAAGUCAGAAGAGAUAGUUUCUUCGGAAGUAAAGAUAGUGGCACCUUUGACCAAUGAUUUACAAGAGAAGUUGGAUGCUCCAGUCACUGCAAGGCUUGUAAACGUGACGAAAAAUAUCGUUGAUGUGCAACAGAAAACAGAAAAUCUCCCUUCAGCGGUACAGGAAAAAGAAACGUCUAUCAUUGUUUCUGAAGAAGGGCCACAUUCUCCAGUCAGUAUAGAAGCAAAGCAGGGCCUACAGUCUCCAGUUGCAGAAAAUGCCCCAAAGAAAGUUCUCAGCGCAGUUAACAUAUUCGAAAAGGCGGCAAACGAUCAAGUGGCCAGUCCGAGUACGGAGCCACAGGGUGUUGUUCUGAGAUCAAAAGCAAAACAAUCUUCCGAUUUUCGAGCCAAGAUCAACAGUUUCCAAAGCCAGCCCAACCCAGUCCUGGCGUCCCGGCGCCCCCAGAGCAUGAUUGAAGUUUCGCCUGGGUCAUCGUCACUGCGCAUGGAAGACCUUAAAAAGUCCUUCACCACAGACCACGCCCACGGAAGUUACACGGCACGCCCCCUGACGACGAUCAAACCGUUAAGCGCCUCCACAGCUCGGCUAGAUAGAGGAGGUACAAGACUCUCCUCUGUGACUGUCUCCAGAACCUCAGGGAGUGUCACAAACAGCGCCCUUGCUCCCAGAGCCCCUCGGGUGGAGUACCCUAAAGGACGCCGUGUGGAAGGAAGUCCUUUCCAGGUGGAUAUCCUGAAAGGUAUCGUCGGUUUAGGGGCUAAGGUCAAGGUUACUCCAGAGGGCCUUGCACAGGUGACGGAGAUUCAACGCAAUGGUUCUAUUGACAAAAACGGAAACGUCAAAGUUGGUGACUAUCUACUGUGGGUCAACACAUCUGAACUGACUGGACAGACGGAGUCAAGAGUCCAGCAAGUGCUUCGUCUCCUGCCCAGGGGACUGGUCAAACUUGUGGUCAGCUCCACACCACCUGAUCAAAAGCCCCAAGACAGCAGUUCAGACACGCCUCCCGCUCAGUACGGCUUGCGACUUUCUCCAAAACCUUUCGGCCAGCCGGACAACAGGGCGGUGAGCCCUACCUCAGAUGCACAGGCAGUUACAUCGCUGGACAAUGGUGGGCAGCAGAGUUUUGUGGUUACUUCGGAGGUUGAAAGAUCUGGAGAGUUGUGCCUGCCUAUCUUCACGUCUGCGGAGCCUACCCCGACGCAAUCGACGCCACCGCAGCCUCUCACCGCUCGGAUUGAGAUCAGCCAGGGAAGCCAGAACGGCGCUGGGCCUGUCAAGAUCGCCAUCAAGCCAAGCCCAGCACCCCGCCCAACUCACGAUAUCGUCAAACCGACAGUCUUGCCCCGACAACACGCCUACGCCUCCUCGACAAACGAGAGCCUGGACAGCUCCAGCGCCGAUUCUACGCCGCGUGACGCUUCUUCUUCCCAGCGUGUGAGCGUGCAGCGAGUGGAGGUAGUGAGCUCGGUUACCGAGCAGAGUCGAAGUCCUGCGGGCGCCGAAAAAGGCGAUCAGCCUCACCUCCGAGCGUUCGAGAGCAGCCGGGGUGUUUUCGAAAACAAAUCAAUUGAGACUGAACCCACGUCACCAUCUGCCGUGUCGCCCAAACCCACGUCGCCCCCUGUUGUUGCUCCCAAGCCAAAACCCCAGUCGUUGUCAUCUCCGCAGAGCACUAUCAAGCCAUCCCCAACCUCUCCGACGGUCUCAGAGUCAAGUGCUGGCGAUGCUGAGGUUUCAUCUGUUAUGUUAUCCGCCAAUAUUGGUGAUGGAAGAUCAGAGACGGCAUCAGAGGUGAAACAUGUUGAGGAGGGAGAUGAAGUCCUUGUGGAGGUGGCUCAGCCCGUCCAGUCGUCACCCAUUCAGAAAGUUCCCCCUCCUGUUGCCCCCAAACCUCGACGCAGCUCUUCGUCUUCCUCUAAAUCUGAGGAGACCGUAGAAAAUGAGGAAGUUCCUCCUGUAAAAAACACACCAAGGAUCAGCGCCGGCUACGAGCGUCUCCAGGCCAUUAAUAAAACAACAAAACCGUCAAAGAUUAUCGAAAAGUCGAGAACAUUUGUGACCUCAAAAGCGAAACUGUUUGACAACAAAGCUAACGACUCAGAGACUGAUCCACCUGCCAAGCAACCCCCGCCACAACGCAGAAUCUCAGUGGGUUUUAACACCUCUCAAGGCGAGGGUGCACGCCCUAUCAACUCCUCACUGCUCCCGCUAAAAGAGCGCAGAAAGAGUACAGGUGCACCUUCCAAUGUCCAGUUGUCACACCCAGCACCACUGUUGUCAUCUUCAUCCUUGUCCAAGCCCCGGCCAUUGUCAGUAUCUUCCAACAGACCGCGUGAACUGCCCAUUCCCGAGAGUGUGUCCCCACGAGAUGGGGACCACGAAGGAAAAACGAAGGUCCUGUCACCGACACGACUCAACUCGGCGCUCUCUCCACGCCACUCAUCCUCUUCUGAAUCCCCCACGUCACCGCCUUUCUCACCUUCCCCUCGCCAGGCGCCGAAGGUGUCUGAGGAAAGCAAGCGUACUCGGACUUUUGACGGUAAGGGAAAAGUCACUGAAAUUGCCGGUACGUUUAGAUCUUCACCUGUCACUGAGCAUUCCGGUACAUUUAGAUCCUCACCAGUCACUGAACAUUCCGGUACAUUUAGAUCCACAACAGUCACUGAACAUUCCGGUACGUUUAGAUCUACACCAGUCACUGAAUAUUCUGGUACGUUUAGAUCCACCCCUAUCACUGUGCAUGAACAUACGUCACUUUCACCUGUGUCACCAAAGCCCGAGCCCACCCCCUCACUUGCGAAGCACUCACAAGCUGUAACGACCAAAAGCGGCACCCAAUCCUUCCCGGCCCCUUCCCCUUUAGCGUCAUCGCGAACCUCAUCUUUGAGCUCCCAACUAAGCGAGGAGGUUGUGGAGGAUGCUAUGAAAAAGUUUGAUGACUUGCUGCUUGACGCGCCAUACACAGGCGUAGAGACAGAUCCUUCUGAUCUGUUAUUGUGGGCACCAGUUCGGAAAGAUACGUCAGUUGGGAAGGCAGCUCCGGCUGAGACAGGGGAUGCUAGCCAAGAUAUCCGUGGAACUGGUCUAGCGAAACAUGUCAGCAGUUCGACUAGUAGUCAACAUGAAGUGAAAGAUGUUAGCAAAGUAUCCAUGGAGCUUGCCAAGGUGAACGGCAGUAGUUCAGAAGCUCUUGACCAAGACACAGUGGAAAAUUCAAAGAUUCCUGAGAAAGAAGAUUGUCAAAACAAAGAGGCAGUCUGUGAAUAUGAGAAAAAUAAGGCAAAUGCACCUGUGGCAGCGCCGAGAAGAAAACCUGAACCUACAGAAAUAACCCAAACAAAUGUUGAGCAAGUUCUUACUCCUAGCACAAAUGAGACUGUUGAGAAGUCUCAGAUCUCAAAGGCGAUUUCAGUACCUGUUGACGUUGCUGAAGAAAGUCAGCCAGAGAAUGCAGAGCGUGCCGAGCAACAAACCACAACUGAAAUGUCACUCCAGGGGCAGGAGUCGGUGACUGGUGGACAAAUCUAUGUACUGACUGACCUGAAUAUCGUGUCGAAUAAUGUCAGUAAGUCGCUGGAUAAUGACAAUAAAAACCAAGAGAAGCUGAACGUCCAAUUAUCUAGUAAUGUUCAAAGCACAGUUGUGGAUCAGGCGAAGGAAAAGGAAAAUGGGAUUGAAGAAAAGUUGGAAAGUGCCAUCCAAGAGUCUGAGAGUGAUCAGUCUCAAGCAAAUGUUGAAGAUAACAUAAUCGCUAAGAACAUAGCCUCGGUAAUGAACCCACCGCCUUCGGAUAUCUACCAAAGUCAAGCUCUCAAAAUCGUAGAAGAUGUUAUGGCUAAAAUUGCGUCUGACCCGUCUCUAUUGAGUUCAGAGGUAAAACACCCUGUGCCCGAACCUACGUCCCCUACGUCAUCAGAGGAUGAAGCCCCGCCCCUCCCCGGCGCCCCACCCCCACCACUCAUACUGAGAGAUACCAACCUGUUGGUGACUGACAAGUCAUGGCUGGAUGAUGACCAGGUUGUGACUGAGCCGGCUGCCAAAGUCGAAGAAAAAGACGAAAAGGUACCCGAUGUUCAAGACAUGAUUGCAGAUCAACAGGUGGUCAGUGCUGUUGGCGUGCAAAAUCUACCUUCCCCACGUGAUGUGACUCAACUGGAUGCGAACGAAAGCAGUCCUGAAAUCUGUGACAUCAUUAAGACUGCCCCCGUGUACGAAGAGGUAGAAAGCCCAAGCCGGGCAGAUUCUGCCGAGCCUCUGAACUCUACAGGCGACAGUUUGCGGGAGGGAGAGGCUGGUCGUGCCCGCUCACCCAGUCCAGUAGACAUGCUAAGCGAGGACUCGGGCAUGCCAGGAGAUGAGGAAUUCCCCGAGGUGCACACUGAUGACGCAAUCUCCCCGCCCGGGGAACUGGCUGAGGCUGUCUCCCAAAAUAUCACCCAGGAAGCUGAAACCACCCCACAGAUAUCUUUGCAGAAAGACGUGGCACUCACUGAAGAGGCCCCAGUAGCCCUUGAUGAUGUAACUAUGUCCAUUUCGACCGAGUCUAAGGCUGGUCCUGAACUACUGCUGUUAACAAAUGAAGAUCAAAUUGAGAAACUGCCAGAACUUGAUCAAGAAAACACUCCUGAACAGAAGGGUGAAGAUGAAAAUGCUGUGCCCCCUGUAUUACCAAGCAGCUUGCCACCGUGUGUCACUAGCAUGCAAGUCGAUGUCAAUGUCACCUCACUUGAUGUAGAUAACCAAGUUUCAAUAUCUCCGCCCCAGGUUUCAGAUUCCCAGCUGUCAUCACAAGAUCUCACUUCUUCUGGUGAGAUGCCAGGGUUAACAAGUGGUGUCCAAGAGAACGAAGCUGUGGAAAUUCAAAGAUAUGUAAGUGUCGAUGUGCAAAACUUGAUCCGUCAAGACAGUGCAACGAUUGUUAGUAAUGUGAGCAAUAGUGUGGACAGUGGAAUUGUGUCGCCAACCGAUUCCGCGCAAGGUACCCUAGAGAAAAUUGACUCGAUUUCAAAGACUUCUGACGAUGCCCCUUCCCAAAAUCCCUCCGCCACGGAAGACGCCACUUCUCUGACCAGCUCUCGUUCGUGGAGCCUGUACUCCAACACCUGUCAGGGUCCCGUGGCGAAAGGUAGUGCUGGUGAGCCGAUGACCUUGACCCAUAACAGUAACUGGCUGAGCACGGCUGGCCUGAUCACCCUGGUGGACCGCGCCAAUGUGACCCUGGGCCAGAUGACAGCGCCCGAGGCCUUAGAGCUGCUGAUUCUGCAUCUACACAGAGAGGAGGAGAGCACAGGGCUAGGGAUUGACCUACGCCACUCAGACGGACACUGGUACAAGGUUUCCAGUAUCCGCAAAGACAGCCCGGCCGCUCUCCAGGGCAGCUUGCAGACAGGCGACUGGCUCCUGGCUAUCGACAGUCUGUGGUGCGAUGGAGUCACGUCCGUGAUGCGCCUCAUGGGUCGUCUGACCAAGCCCAAACACGACUCGCUGCUAGUGGUGGCCAGAGGCGAACGGCCGGGUCUCGCUGAUACUACAGAUCCCCAACGUCCUACCCCAGUGCCGAGGCCUCGGUCCGUGGUAAAAAAUUCCUCUCCCGCUGAGACCACAGAGCCCUCAGGUGUCGCGGUGGAAGAAAAGACAGAAGCCAAGGCAGCUCCUGAAGAAUCAAGCUCAUCUCUCAAAUCAUCAGCAGAAGAUUGUGAUUCCACCCCUCCCACUCUCCCCACCACUGCACCACCCCCACCUUCAGCAGCAUCGACAGUACCGUCUCCUCCACCCAGCCUCGCAAACCCGACUGACACUGCAGUCAAAGCUGACAGCAAACCACCAGCAGCAUCGACAGUAUCAACAGCAGCAGACACAACUACAGCAACACCAGCAGCUGCUCCUUCAGAUCUCCCAGCUGGAGUACAGAAGGUGAUCAUGCUCAAAGGGGCUACAGGAGUGGGCUUCUGUCUGGAAGGAGGCCUUGGCUCUCCCAAGGGCAAUCUUCCCAUUGCCAUCAAGAGGAUAUUUAAAGGAGGUCCUGCAGAAAAAUGUGGACAGCUGAAGGUGAAGGAUGAGAUCUUGGAGGUCAAUGGAGUAGACUUUACAAACAUGAGACACUAUGAAGCAUGGAACCACCUAAAAUUCCUUGAUGAUGGAGAAGUUCACAUCACUGUGCGACGUCAUUAGCAUAUUGAUCAAGCAUCUGUAGAGAUUGUAUUUGUUAACAGCUGAAUUGUCACACUCUGUACAUCCUGUUUAUACUAACCAUAUGUUUUGUGUGAAUAUUUAUUUAAAGAGCUUUUUGUAUGUAAACCAUAUAAACAGGGACUGUUAUGAUUUGUGUAUUUCUUGAAUCUGUAUGAUAAUGUCUGUUCUCUUGUAUUCUGUGAUGUUGAAGAAGCCUACUGUGGGCUGGUGAUACCUGAGAAACAUAUGUAAAGAUCACAUGGUUUUUGUGUAUACUGAAAUAUUAUCUCUGACUAUAGGGCUAUUUAUGGCUGACAGACAGAGCCAGGUGUAGACUCCUGUAGCAAAAUAAUGAAGUCUUACAGCACCAACAACUCAGUUCAGAGCUAAGAACAAUGUCUCUCUUGUUUAUUGUCUCAUCAUUCAGGCAUCCUAUGGGCCAUUUUCACACUGAUACAUUCAACUUUGAUUCAUACUCAGUAAUUGAACCAUUGAAGCAUCUUAUGCAGAAGUCUAAAUGUUCUUGAUACCUUCACUACCAAGCCUUCUCUAAUAACCCACUAAACAGCCUGAGACUGUCUUAAGGCAUACUGUGUAUGGAGUCAGGAAGAACCCAACUUGCUAAAUGCUCUGCAUUAACAAAUUUUCCCUCAGCAAUGAUGUGCUGGACUCAAACCUUAACAAUAAGAAGUCCCUUCAAAUAAGUAUGAAAAAUAAUAAGUACCACAGAUAUCUUUGCCAAUAGCCAUUACCAUGCUGCUUCAAUUGUUAAGAAUUAAAAUUUGCACCCCUUCCCUGUCUCAACUUCUUGUCUUUCCAACUGAUCUUUCAAGUUUCAUUUCUUCCUCUUUAGUUCCAUGGCCAUGUGUGAGCAGAUCAGGAAAAAAAACACUUUCUUACUUAAAUAUGCAUCCGUUUGUCUCUUCUGAGUGGACAAUCGUCUCACUUACUGAGUAUAUUUGGACAACUAUUAAACAACCAUCACUUAAACAUAUUUUCUGUGCUUGUCAUUGUUUUCGUGGAUAUUUGUUUUGACCAAGCUAUGCAGUAACUAAAUUGUAUUAUGUCAUAAACAUGAGGAGCACUAGCAGCUCAACUGUCUCUGGCGCUGAUGUUUUGUUGUUCUCUCCGUUUCAAUGAUUUCCUGUGGUAAAUAUGUCUCCACCUGGAGCCAGGUUCAUCAAUGGUUGUGAUUUUGUAUAUUUUUGUAUAACUUUUUUGCAUAUACCACGUACAUAUAAACUGUUCUGUAGAUCUUCUUUGUGUUGACACAGUUAAUAUUUUUUGCUUUCAAUCACAUUAGCUUUAUAUUCCAUUGUUGUACAGCUUUACGUUUUUUUUAAGUUUGUGAAGGCAUGUUUGACAAUUUUGUAGUCUGCAUGAUUUGAGAAUGCUGUAGAUGAUACAAAACUAAAAUUUCUUGAUUUAAUUUAACUGUUCAUCUUUAUCGGUUGGAUUAUUCCUUUUCUUCAAAUUUCUGUUGCAAUUUCAACUAUUUCAAUUCUUCUAGGCCAGGCAGGCAAUACAAGAAAUGAUUGAGGAAGGGUUUCUUGCCUUUUUGUGGUCUUCAAGCUCUGCUGCUUUCAAAUUCAGUUGUUCCAUGACCUCAAAAGUUGUCAGAGUGUAAUUUUAUUCCAACUGAGUUUACAUUGUCUGCAUUUAAUGUUAUAGCAGUAAUUAUAUAUACCGUAUAUCAUUGUGUAUAGGAUGCAAAUAAGAUGCAGCAAGCACCAUGACCUGAAUUAUUAUUUGGAGUUUGAAUUAAUAACCAAACAAAUCAGCUGUAGGGAUGACAACUUUCUUAUCUCAUUGAUAAGCUGCAGGGCAAUUUUGAAGACUGAUUCUUUUGGUUAAAAAAUGCAUCCUAUAAGCAAUGAUAUAUGGCAGUUGUUUAUUAUGAUUGAUGGCCUUCAAACCUCUGAAAAUUGAUAAGGGACCAAAUAUGCAGAGAUACUUGUGGACAUGCAUGUGUUUGCCUGUAUGUGAGUGUGUUGGGGGAGCAAGUUUCUGUUAUAAUUUGAUUAAUUUGCAUUUGAACAAUUUGAGAACUUGCUAAUUUCACAUAUAUAACAGUUCUGGUUGUGAUGAGAAUUUGCAACGAAACUUUAUAAAAAUUCAUAUGUCUCAUGAAGGAUUUUGUGGUCUAUGCAAUUUAUUCCUUUGUAUCAACGAAGUUUACAUUUCAGUUAUUCAACUGAAAACUGCAGAACACUUUUGUUUUCAUUUUCAUGUUGGAGGCACCGUCUGUGUUUUAAUUAACAGAUUUAAAAGCUUUUGUGUAAGUAAGUGAGGUUUCAGUAUAGCGAUAUUUAUACUUUUUGCUCUUUGUUAGCAUUAAUCAGCACUAUAUUGAGGUACACAUUGUAACAGAAUGGACUAAUCUUUUAAAGUUUGAAAACUUUAGGCACCAAUUACUCUCUGUUAAAAUUCAUUCAUAUUGUAUCUAGUGGGCUGCUUUAACAUAAAACAAAUUUUGGAAAUUAAGGAAUGGAUUUUGCUCUGCCCUUAGCACAAGGUCCACGAAAUAAAAAGUGCACAGGUUACUCCAGCUUGUAAACAUUGAUAGCAGUGUUCACCACUGGACCGUCACAAUUUUUUUGGUGAUAAUGUAGACCUGAUUAUUAUUUGUGAUAUAAUAUCUUUUCAAGGAACCGUACAUGUUACAUAAAGGUUUUGAUUCAUAUUUAUAAAUACAGCAAGGCUAAAGUUAAUAUAUUUUCCUUGCAAGUUUAUGUGGGCUUAUAUUUUUCUCUUAUGACUUUCAUCAUUAUUAUCAUUUUUAUUAUAUUAUUAUUACUAUUAUUAUUAUUAUUACUAUUAUUAUUAUUAUUAUCAUAAUUAUUAUUAGGUUUAUACUUUUUAUAUUACUGAAAGUUUAAUUUUGAUUCGCACUGUCAACAUAUUUUUUACUCCCAAAAGGGUUCUGCUAGUAUAUGGUAAACUCUGUCGAUUGUUUCCCUCUCUUGGUUUCAAAAUACCUGGAAAGAGGUUUUAAUGAAAGAAUAUCGUACUACAUGAAGCAGUAGCAAAUGUUUGGCCUAGCAGGGUAUCUUAAGAUAUUUUGUGCAUUCGCAUGUGUCAGGUAAAUUUAUCAGUACAUCAACAGGUUCCGUCAGUUGAUUUAACUUUAUUGAUUACAAUUUAUUGGCAAAUUCUUAUUGAUUGUAUUAUGGUAGCUAUGAGUUCAAAGCAGAAUGAUAUUUGAUUGUGACUGAAAUAAAUUGUGGCAAAGCACUUUUCAUUCUAAAUGUAACCUGUUUACAAAUUUUAUCAUAUUUUACUGAAACAAAACCAUAAAUAAUAAACAGGAAAGGGGGAGAGAGAGAGAGAGAGAGAAAGAGAGAGAGAGAGAUAAAGAGAGAGUAUAGAAAAAAGUGAGAGAGAAUGAUGAGAGAGAAUAAAAGGGGGUGGGUUGUUAAAGAUGGGCAAAAAAAGGAAUGAUUGUUUCACUGUCCAUGAGUUCUGAUGAAGCUUUGCCUAUAUCUACGGGCUACUGUAUCUAACCAAUGAACUAUACGACAACAAUACCAUGAUAAUAUAUAUUCAUAACCAGAUAUCGAAAUAAACAUCUGGACUGUA
rnacentral:misc_RNA from 1 species